UACGUAGGGUGCAAGCGUUAAUCGGAAUUACUGGGCGUAAAGCGUGCGCAGGCGGUUGUGCAAGACAGAUGUGAAAUCCCCGGGCUCAACCUGGGAAUUGCAUUUGUGACUGCACGGCUAGAGUGUGUCAGAGGGGGGGUAGAAUUCCACGUGUAGCAAGUGAAAAUGCGUAGAGAUGUGGAGGAAUACCGAUGGCGAAGGCAGCCCCCCUGGGAUAACACUGACGCUCAUGCACGAAAGCGUGGGUAGCAAACAGG
rnacentral:rRNA from 1 species